GAUGAACGCUGGCGGCGUGCUUAACACAUGCAAGUCGAACGGAAAGGCUCCUGCUUGCAGGGGUACUCGAGUGGCGAACGGGUGAGUAACACGUGGGUGAUCUGCCCUGCACUUCGGGAUAAGCCUGGGAAACUGGGUCUAAUACCGGAUAGGACCACAUUUUGGAUGGUGUGGUGGAAAGUUUUUCGGUGUGGGAUGAGCUCGCGGCCUAUCAGCUUGUUGGUGGGGUAAUGGCCUACCAAGACGUCGACGGGUAGCCGGCCUGAGAGGGUGUACGGUCACAUUGGGACUGAGAUACGGCCCAGACUCCUACGGGAGGCAGCAGUGGGGAAUAUUGCACAAUGGGCGCAAGCCUGAUGCAGCGACGCCGCGUGGGGGAUGACGGCCUUCGGGUUGUAAACUCCUUUCGCUAGGGACGAAGCGUUUUUGUGACGGUACCUGGAGAAGAAGCACCGGCUAACUACGUG
rnacentral:rRNA from 1 species